UAAGCAGUGAAGAAGACUCUUCGGUUAAUACCCGGGGACGAUGACAUUAGCUGCAGAAUAAGCACCGGCUAACUCUGUGCCAGCAGCCGCGGUAAUACAGAGGGUGCAAGCGUUAAUCGGAAUUACUGGGCGUAAAGCGAGCGUAGGUGGCUUGAUAAGUCAGAUGUGAAAUCCCCGGGCUUAACCUGGGAACUGCAUCUGAAACUGUUAGGCUAGAGUAGGUGAGAGGGAAGUAGAAUUUCAGGUGUAGCGGUGAAAUGCGUAGAGAUCUGAAGGAAUACCGAUGGCGAAGGCAGCUUCCUGGCAUCAUACUGACACUGAGGCUCGAAAGCGUGGGUAGCAAACAGGAUUAGAUACCCUGGUAGUCCACGCCGUAAACGAUGUCUACUAGUCGUUGGGUCCCUUGAGGACUUAGUGACGCAGCUAACGCAAUAAGUAGACCGCCUGGGGAGUACGGCCGCAAGGUUAAAACUCAAAUGAAUCGACGGGGGCCCGCACAAGCGGUGGAGCAUGUGGUUUAAUUCGAUGCAACGCGAAGAACCUUACCUGGUCUUGACAUACACAGAAUCUUGCAGAGAUAC
rnacentral:rRNA from 1 species